GAUGAACGCUGGCGGCGUGCCUAAUACAUGCAAGUCGAGCGAACAGACGAGGAGCUUGCUCCUCUGACGUUAGCGGCGGACGGGUGAGUAACACGUGGAUAACCUACCUAUAAGACUGGGAUAACUUCGGGAAACCGGAGCUAAUACCGGAUAACAUGUUGAACCGCAUGGUUCAACAGUGAAAGACGGUCUUGCUGUCACUUAUAGCUGGAUCCGCGCCGCAUUAGCUAGUUGGUAAGGUAACGGCUUACCAAGGCAACGAUGCGUAGCCGACCUGAGAGGGUGAUCGGCUACACUGGAACUGAGACACGGUCCAGACUCCUACGGGAGGCAGCAGUAGGGAAUCUUCCGCAAUGGGCGAAAGCCUGACGGAGCAACGCCGCGUGAGUGAUGAAGGUCUUCGGAUCGUAAAACUCUGUUAUUAGGGAAGAACAAAUGUGUAAGUAACUAUGCACGUCUUGACGGUACCUAAUCAGAAAGCCACGGCUAACUACGUG
rnacentral:rRNA from 1 species